UGGGGAAUAUUGCACAAUGGGGGAAACCCUGAUGCAGCAACGCCGCGUGAGUGAAGAAGUAUUUCGGUAUGUAAAGCUCUAUCAGCAGAGAAGAAAAUGACGGUACCUGACUAAGAAGCACCGGCUAAAUACGUGCCAGUAGCCGCGGUAAUACGUAUGGUGCAAGCGUUAUCCGGAUUUACUGGGUGUAAAGGGAGCGCAGGCGGUCUGGCAAGUCUGAUGUGAAAAUCCGGGGCUCAACUCCGGAACUGCAUUGGAAACUGUCAGACUAGAGUGUCGGAGAGGUAAGUGGAAUUCCUAGUGUAGCGGUGAAAUGCGUAGAUAUUAGGAGGAACACCAGUGGCGAAGGCGGCUUACUGGACGAUAACUGACGCUGAAGCUCGAAAGCGUGGGGAGCAAACA
rnacentral:rRNA from 1 species